AUCGCCCUCCACCCCAUCCCUUCGCCUGCCCUUUGUUUACGCACGCAGGACUCACCGCCUCAGUCCAGAUGGAGAGAAUCAUAUUUGUUAUUCGUGUUCUGCUAAUACGUCACUGAGUUGUGUCGGUAUUGCUAUUGGAGCGUUUGAAGGAAAAACGUGAUUGGCUAUUGACGUAUUCAGAGACAAAAUGUAUUGCUAUUGCAGUGUUUGGUGAUGCCGCUUGACACUCAUCACUCGUACACUGACAGAAGCAGGAAACAAAUGCCAUUCAUGAAGAGCGAACACCGGAACGAGUCGUCAAAUUUGGAAGUCAGCGGGGACACCAGCCAGACAACAGAGGACGGGACAAUUUUUUCAGGCAACUGUUACGAACACACGGGAAUAAUCAAUGCAGCUAAGCAGAGCAUUACCCCUCACCCUCGCUUUAUGUGAGAUUGUAACGAUCGCCACCACCACCACCACCACCACCACCACCACCACCAUCACCAUCAAGAGGUGAAGUCCAAUCCCUUUUGGUGUUCCACGUGCCGAGCGAAUCCGGGGGAAGGUGACUCAGGGCAUCUCGACACUGCCCUCCGUCACUGUCUUCCUCUUGACCAUCAGAGUCCCUGCCGCCCACUGAGAAGACACCGCUCGUCACCAGCCGCCGAGUUGCUGUUUACGGAAUGAAGGUUUUCACCAAACGUCCCGCCUGAUGGUUUUAUUCCCUCGUAAAGGAGAUCAUCGCUCGCUGCGCCGCUUAAUGCAUCACCAAGCCUGUCUCGCUCAAGGU